UGCCAGCCGCCGCGGUAAUACAUAGGGUGCGAGCGUUAAUCGGAAUUACUGGGCGUAAAGCGCGCGUAGGCGGUUAGUUAAGUCAGCUGUGAAAGCCCUGGGCUCAACCUGGGAACUGCAGUUGAUACUGGCCAACUAGAGUGCAAGAGAGGGAGGUAGAAUUCCACGUGUAGCGGUGAAAUGCGUAGAUAUGUGGAGGAAUACCGGUGGCGAAGGCGGCCUCCUGGCUCGAUACUGACGCUGAGGUGCGAAAGCGUGGGUAGCGAACAGGAUUAGAUA
rnacentral:rRNA from 1 species